GUCCCAGGCAUUACUGGUGUUUUUUCAAAGCUUCCCAGGCAUUUAUAACAUGAAUCCAGGUUAAGAACCAUUGCCUUAAAGCAUCGACCACACAUACGCUUUCAUGGUUUCUGUUGUUUCUUUUGAGAAGUUGGCUGUCAGUUUUGCUGUCUCUUUGAAGGUGUACAUCAUUAAUUCUCAAUUUCCGUGUAGACUACAUCAUGUUCACCCCUCAAAGACUAACUACCAUGCAUCACCAUACACAUGUGCCCUGAUGCCCCUUUCAUCGUCCUCCCUCCCCGCUUCCACUCUGGUGACCACCAAUCCAAUCUCUGUCUCUAUGUGUUUCAAGGGACAAAUUGACAAAGAAGAUGUACUAUACAUACACGAUGGAAUACUACUCAGUUAUAAAAAGAGAUGAAACCUUGCCAUUAGCGACAACAUAGACGGACCUUGAGCGUAUUCUGCUAAGUGAAAUAAGUCAGAGGAAGAAAGUCAAAUACUGUAUGAUCUCACUCAUAAACAGAAGAUAAAAACAACAACAAACAAACGUAUUUCUUUAUCCUUAAAGUUCAGUAACUUCUCUACGUUGUGUACUAAUUUUUCUUGGCACUACGCAUGGUUUGUUUUUUUUGUCUACAGAUUCAAAUCUUUAUGUCAAGAAAGUUCCUUCUAGUAUAUUUUUGAAUAUUUUUGUUGCUUCUUUUUUUCCAUGUUCUUUAUGAACAUGAAGUAUUCUGUAUAUUUUACACGUAUAUUGUCUUCUCUAUAAAUUAUAGAUAGCUUCAUUUUUUCAUUUUCUUUGUAUAUUUUUCUAUAUACUGUCUUAUAUCUUGUUUCAUUUUAUAUUGUCCGUAUUCUAUUUUUAUUAUUUCACUAUGAUUUUCCUCUAUGUAAUGUUUUUCUUUUCUCUUCCAACUUGCUUCAUCAAUUUGCUUAUUAUCUUCCAUUGUUUUUUAAUCUCUUCUUAUUAUCUCUCAUUGAGCAUUUUUAAGUUUUAAAAUUUCUUUGAAAUUAUAACUACUUGAAUUAUUUAUUUUUUUCUAUAGUUAGUUAUCUUCCUCUUUUUUGCCUUCUCUUCCUCUCCCUAGGCCCCUCUCCCCCAGACUCCCCUUGAGCCCCCUUGCCCCACUCCUCUCUUCUUUCUCUCUGGUCUGUGUUUUAUGUUGGUUCUUUUCUGAUGAUUAUAUAUCUCUGCUUGGGGCCAGGUAUUCUUGUUUUUUAAAGCUUCAGUGCAUAGUUGUGUAUCUGGUUGUUAGUUUUAGUUCUCUAUGUGAGCUGGCAUCAGAGUAUGACAACUGACAGAUGGGUGGUGUGGUUCCACGACCGGAAAUGAAUGAAUCCAGGCUGCGGUGGUGAGAGCACCGAAUCUUAACCAGUAGACCACCAGGGCUGGCUCCCAGGUAUUCUCAAUGAAUAGAAUGGGAAGAGAUGGGAAAUGAACUUGGAAAGCUCACAGCUUCAGUUCAGUUUAUUCUUCUAAAACUCCUCUCCAGAUCUUAUCUUCCCUUUGCUGCUGAGGCUCAUCUCACCUCAAUUUUAGCCAUCAAGAGGUUGAAGUGGCUGGUGGGAAAUCUUCCCCUUCCUCCUAGGCUCUCUGUUACCUCCUAAUCUCCAUCACUCAGGAAGAGAGGCUGUAGAAAAAACUGGAAGGGCAACGUGACUUUUCCUUCAGCUUUGCCUCCCUGCUACCUGGUUGUGCCAAGCAGGAUCUCUAUGGCAACAUCGCCCACUUCUCUUGUGCUGGCACAUGGCUGUGGAUUUGAUUGCUCUGAUCAAAGGAACACUGGACAGACCUUUUGGAACUUUGAUGCUCACUUACAGGGAAACCUGUGUCUUGCUGGAAGUCCAAGGGCAAAGAUGUUGGAUGUCAAUGCCUUCUCUCAUUGCAGUUUGAAUUGUAAGCUGGACUUACCAUGUUUUUCAUGAAAUAAGGACUGACAAACUGGGUCAGUUUGGGGUUUCAGACUUGGAUAUUUGCCAGCAUUUUUUUUCAAAAAUGAAUGAAGUGAGCCUGUCAUAUAGAGGAAAAUAACUGACACUAUCUGUUGACCACAAAAUUCAAGCUUUCAAGAGAAAAUUAGAACUUUCAAAAUCUUGUAUCUACCACUACGAAUUUGACAGUUUCUCAACACAUAGAUACUUUUCUGAUGAGAUUGGUGGUUUUAGCAAAUGUGAUUUUUUGAUAUCACACAAUACUUGUAACAUGUGCAUAACUGAAUAAAUCAAUGUUUUCCAAAUCACCACCAAUCAUGCAUGCUACAAAAUCAUGCAUGGGGCAAAAUUCCAUUCAAAGUGCAAGGGAAAUCAAUGGAUUUUAAUGUAACAGAGUAUUAACUGAGUCAUUGAUAUAGUUUGGCAUUAUACGUUGCAAUUAACCUUUAAGAAACUACCACUUAUUGAGUUUUGGUAUAAUAUCAAAGAAGAAUAUCUAGAAUUAUCUGGAAAUCCUUUUAAAAUAACUUCCCUUUUACAACUGUAAUCAGUUUGAGGCCAUAUUUUCUUCAGAUAUUUUAACCAAAACAAUAUAGAGUGAUCGAUGGAGAAUCCAGCUGUCUCCUAUUAAGCCAGACAUCAAAGAGAUCUGCAAAACUGUGAGACAGGCUACACUUCUCAU